rnacentral:rRNA from 1 species
UACGUAGGGACCAAGCGUUGUCCGGAAUCAUUGGGCGUAAAGAGCGUUUAGGCGGCUUGUUAAGUCUUGCGUGAAAUCUCGGGGCUCAACCCCGAGCGGUCGUGAGAAACUGGCAGGCUAGAGUGCGGGAGAGGAGAGUGGAAUUCCUGGUGUAGCGGUGAAAUGCGCAGAUAUCAGGAGGAACACCGGUGGCGAAGGCGGGUCUCUGGGCCGAUACUGACGCUGAGGAGCGAAAGCGUGGGGAGCGAACAGG